rnacentral:rRNA from 1 species
CCUACGGGUGGCAGCAGUGAGGAAUAUUGGUCAAUGGACGAGAGUCUGAACCAGCCAAGUAGCGUGAAGGAUGACUGCCCUAUGGGUUGUAAACUUCUUUUAUAAAGGAAUAAAACGAGGCACGUGUGCCUUUUUGUAUGUACUUUAUGAAUAAGGAUCGGCUAACUCCGUGCCAGCAGCCGCGGUAAUACGGAGGAUCCGAGCGUUAUCCGGAUUUAUUGGGUUUAAAGGGAGCGUAGAUGGGUUGUUAAGUCAGUUGUGAAAGUUUGCGGCUCAACCGUAAAAUUGCAAUUGAUACUGGCAGUCUUGAGUACAGUAGAGGUGGGCGGAAUUCGUGGUGUAGCGGUGAAAUGCUUAGAUAUCACGAAGAACCCCGAUUGCGAAGGCAGCUUACUAAACUGUGACUGACAUUGAUGCUCGAAAGUGUGGGUAUCAAACAGGAUUAGAUACCCUUGUAGUC